AACAAGCUUCAUGGUCGGUCAUGGAACUGCUGCAGUUCACAUGUCUGCUUUUACUUAUCAGCUUGAAAUGUUUGKCAGGUUUUGGCCAGCAGUGUGGGGGUAACCAGUGGCAGUGUGAUGAUGGAGCUUGUCUGCCACUUUCCUGGCACUGCGAUGGAAAUGGAGACUGUAUGGACGGCUCUGAUGAAAUGGCCUGCCCCUGUCCUAGGGGCCAGGUUGCCUGCAUGGCCGGGGCUCCUGGUUGUGUAAGUACCUCUGCAGUAUGUGAUGGGCUGCGCCAGUGUUCUGAUGGGUCUGAUGAGUUUAACUGCCCAGAGAACCAGGGCUGUCUGCAGGGGGACUGGAGGUGUAGGAAUAAGAUCUGCAUCCCCAAGGACCUAUACUGUAARGGUGCUAACGACUGUGUGGACAACUCUGAUGAGGCCUGUGGCCAGUGUGGUCCAAUGGCUGUGCGUUGUCCUGGAGGGGUGUGUCUGACUGAAGAUGAGAGAUGUGAUGGAAAAUUGCAGUGCUCUGAUGGCAGUGAUGAACCCUCUACCUGUGGGAGGACCUGUUCAGAAGAGAACGGUGGCUGCAGUCACUCCUGUGUGGAUAAGCCCUGGGGAGCCCUCUGCUCCUGUCCUAAAGGCCAUAGGCUAUCUGCUCACGGAGCCUCCUGUCUGGAUGUGGAUGAAUGCGCUCUGCCUUACGGUCCAUGCAUGCACUUCUGUGUCAACACACCCGGMUCCUUCUACUGCCACUGCCGAGAUGGCUUCCAGCUUKAAGGAACCACCUACUGRUAUGCUAAAGGUGACUUUUCYUAGUAACAUUAGUUUGAUUAACUUCUGACUGGUUAUCUAAACCUGUUCAAUAUCUGAUGCUUUUCAGGAAAUUAUACAAAGUUUCUGACUGCAACGAAGGGAACUAUCGGAUUCCUGAAUCUGAGGACUCUGAGAUUCGAGUCCAUUCAGAGUAUUGGCUAUGAUCCUCUGGCCUUGGCCUUUGACCUCUCCAGGAGCUCAUUCUACUGGGCUGAUGACCAGGGGAACAUCUACAAGGCUAAGGAGCAGCAGCGCAGGAUCCUUUAUCAUGGUUGGUGUCUUCUGAUUCUCUAUCAUGAUUGGUUUCUCCUGAUGUAGCAGAAUCUAGAUGUCUUCAUCACUU
rnacentral:lncRNA from 1 species